rnacentral:rRNA from 1 species
UACGUGAGGUGCGAGCGUUGUUCGGAAUUAUUGGGCGUAAAGCGCACGCAGGUGGGAUGGUGUGUCGAUUGUGAAAGCCCCGGGCUUAACCUGGGAAUGGCAUUUGGGACUGCAAGGCUUGAGUGCGGCAGAGGAGACUGGAAUUCCUGGUGUAGCAGUGAAAUGCGUAGAUAUCAGGAGGAAUACCGAUGGCGAAGGCAGGUCUCUGGGCUGACACUGACGCUCAUGCACGAAAGCGUGGGGAGCAAACAGG